AGAAGUAUCUUGAGAAGAUUGGCAGUACAGUUUCCAGGCAUUCUGGGACACAGAUUAAACUAAAAAAAGUAGAAAAAUACAAAUUAAGGGUGGGUUCCCUUGAAGAUACAUCUUACAGAAAGAAACCAGACCUCUUACAGGAGUGGGAGCAGUUCUAUCUUCCAGAUGAGAUGAAAAUGCAAGUAAUCGGGGUUUUAGAGAAUUUCCCAUGUGGUGAGGACAGUGCUGAGCUGGUUCUUAUGGUGUGUGAAGACGGCAAUGUGUUUGCCUAUGAGGAUGAACGUCUUCAUCUGGUUGCCAGCAGCCUGAAAGGGCUGUUUGAGAGUGGGGUCCAGUUUCCAGGCAGGAAGUACUACUACAGUGGCCAGAGCUUUGAGGACAUGACAGAUGAUGAGUGGAAUCAAGUGAAAAAAUCAGAAGAAGUGAUGAAGAAGGACAAAGAACACGAGGAUAUGCUCAAGUCCAUGAAGCCUACAUACUUGGAAAACCUGGAGUUCAUUAAACAGAGACAACAAAUAUAGAGAUGCAGAUAAGAAACCAGAUUGAAGGCAGCAGCACAGAGCAGAGUGAAAGAGCAUCUCAGAGCAGCAGAAUUCAAACAGCAAAGCUUAUUGUUCAGAGUGGAAGUGAUUGUGUGCGUAUGUUGGUUGGGUUUUUUUUAUUGAGAGUUGUGCUAUGACUGUACAUGUGAAUGUGAUACUCUGUAGAUCCAGUGUUGCGUGUCUGCAUGUUUGCGUUCUCUCGCUCUCUCUCUCUCCCUGUCUCACUCUAUAGCUGGCAUAUCCUGUCAAUCAUUAUGGAGCAUGCUGCCAGCCAGGGGCGUAGCACCAAAUUCUGUGCCCUGUACACUCUCAAUGUCAGUGGGCCCCUAUCCAUGCCAGUAAGAACGUGAGUGAAAAAUAAAAUCAGGAUUUACAUGGGCCUUUCUCCCUACAUGGGCCCUGGGUGUUCAGGUCACUUUUCCCCACUACCAUGCCCAUGCUGCCAGCUAACCAAUCAAGCAGAGACUGAGGCGGAGUUUCCAGUUAAAAAACUAUGUGAAGGAGCUGUGCUUGCCGGCUCACAUACUGACCACUCGUUUGCAUGCUUCGUUUUUAUUGUGGUCAUUAGCAUAUAUUUUACUGUGUUAGUUUGAUGAACUAUUUGAGAUCUUGGCUGUAUGUUCCCAGGGGCAGAUUUUACCACCACACAAACCACGCAAUUUCUUGGGGCCCCAGGGAUCAGGGGGCCCCCUGCAGGCCAAAAGUUGGCCAAAAAAAAAAAAACGAAAAGAAAAAAAAAAAAGACACAGAAGAGACACCAUACAUGCAAGUUAAGCUAGGCGAGGUAGACUAAGGUAGCUCUGGCACAACCAUGAAACUGUCUUAUACCAGCUGUGCCCAAAAAAGAAAAAAAAAUAAGGAUAGGAAGUCCAGCACAGAAAGUUGACAAAGCUCACCAAUUUUUUUGCAGCAGCAAGAAAUGAAACGUCUGACGAGGAUGAGGUACCUGAGACAGCUAGGUUGUCAGAGUCAAUAUGGCAUUUUGCUAUACAAAAGAAUCCAUUUAAUCAGGGCCACCAGAAAAAAAAAACAUUGAUUGGGGCCCCAGAACUUCCAAAUCCACCCCUGUGUGUGCCAUUGGAGUGUUUGUUCACAAGCUCUGUUAUUUUUACUCUUACAUUGUGUGUGUUUCCUUCCCCUCAGAUUGAGAACAGGUUUGACUGUGUGCGCACCUACAUUCCACCAUGUAGGUUGUUAAAUUGUAUAGACACACUAGAUUAAUCUAGUAAUCUAGACUAAUCUAGUGUAGUUAGCCAGUUUUUUUGGUAUGUUUCUUUUUGGGUAGUUAGGCUAGUGUCUUAAAACAGCUUAGUGUCAUUUUGUUUUGUUCUGUUCUUUCCUUUGGUACUGUUCAUUUUUUCUUUCUGACGCAAGGUUAUUCCAUUUCAUGACGUCUCUCUCUGAUGUUUCCACUGUUUGUUCUGCAUAAAUGUAAAGUAAAAAAAAAAAAUUGCUUUAAGUUGCCUGCUCUUUAGUCAAGUCAUUCCUUAGCUUCCAGUAUGUUUGAAACUCCCUCUUACGCGAUUCACAUC